UGGGGAAUCUUGGACAAUGGGCGCAAGCCUGAUCCAGCAAUGCCGCGUGGGUGAAGAAGGCCUUCGGGUUGUAAAGCCCUUUUGUUUGGGAGCAAAGCUUACCCACUAAUACUGGGUGAGGAUGAGAGUACCAAAAGAAUCAGCACCGGCUAACUACGUGCCAGCAGCCGCGGUAAUACGUAGGGUGCAAGCGUUAAUCGGAAUUACUGGGCGUAAAGCGUGCGCAGGUGGUUCUGCAAGACCGACGUGAAAGCCCCGGGCUCAACCUGGGAACUGCGUAGGUGACUGCAAGACUAGAGUGUGGCAGAGGGGGGUGGAAUUCCAUGUGUAGCAGUGAAAUGCGUAGAGAUGUGGAGGAACACCGAUGGCGAAGGCAGCCCCCUGGGCUAACACUGACACUCAUGCACGAAAGCGUGGGGAGCAAACA
rnacentral:rRNA from 1 species